rnacentral:snRNA from 1 species
GUGCUUGCUUUGGCAGCACAUACACUAAAAUUGGAAUGAUACAGAGAAGGUUAGCCUGGCCCCUGCGUAAGGAUGACACGCAAAUUCAUUCCAUAUUUUU